rnacentral:rRNA from 1 species
AUUGAACGCUGGCGGCAUGCCUUACACAUGCAAGUCGAACGGUAACAGGUCUUCGGAUGCUGACGAGUGGCGAACGGGUGAGUAAUACAUCGGAACGUGCCUAGUAGUGGGGGAUAACUACUCGAAAGAGUGGCUAAUACCGCAUGAGAUCUACGGAUGAAAGCAGGGGAUCGCAAGACCUUGUGCUACUAGAGCGGCCGAUGGCAGAUUAGGUAGUUGGUGGGAUAAAAGCUUACCAAGCCGACGAUCAGUAGCUGGUCUGAGAGGACGGUCAGCGACACUGGGACUGGGACACGGCGCAGACUCCGACGGGAGGCAGCAGUGGGGAAUUUUGGACAAUGGGCGAAAGCCUGAUCCAGCAAUGCCGCGUGCAGGAGGAAGGCCUUCGGGUUGUAAACUGCUUUUGUACGGAACGAAAAGCCCUGGGUUAAUACCCUGGGGUCAUGACGGUACCGUAAGAAUAAGCACCGGCUAACUACGUGCCAGCCGCCGCCGUAAAAC